rnacentral:tRNA from 1 species
GCCCUCGUCGCAUAACGGCAUUGCACGCGACUCGAACUCGCGGCCCUUUGGGCAUCCAGGUUCAAUUCCUGGCGAGGGCG